rnacentral:rRNA from 1 species
GAUUAACGCUGGCGGUGUGCAUUAGGUAUGCAAGUCGAGCGAUCCACCUUCGGGUGGAUAGCGGCGGACGGCUGAGUAACACGUAGGAACCUAUCCCUUGGAGGAGCAUAGCUUGUCGAAAGAUGGGGUAAUUCUCCAUGGUCUAUGUACCAUUCGGUACAUAGUAAAGGGCAUAACUGCCCGCCAAAGGAGGGGCCUGCGGCUUAUCAGGUAGUUGGUAGGGUAAUGGCCUACCAAGCCGAUGACGGGUAGCUGGUCUGGGAGGACGGACAGCCAGAGGGGCACUGAGACACGGGCCCCACUCCUACGGGAGGCAGCAACCAGGAAUUUUGCGCAAUGGGCGAAAGCCUGACGCAGCGACACCGCGUGCGGGAAGAAGGCCUUAGGGUUGUAAACCGCUGUGGUAGGGGAAGAAUAAAAUGACGGUACCCUACUAGAAAGUGGCUGCUAACCACGUGCCAGAAGCCUCGGUCAGACGUGGGCCACAAGCGUUAUCCGGUUUUAUUGGGCGUAAAAGGACGCGUAGGCGGUUAAAUAAGUUAUGUUUUAAAUCCUUCUGCUUAACAGAAGAUUCGGCAUAAUACUGUUUAACUAGAGUUUCUCUCAGGGAAGCGGAACGUACUUUGUAGCGGUAAAAUGCGUUGAUAAAGUACGGAACACCAACGGCGAAGGCAGCUUCCUGGAGAUUUACUGACGCUGAGGCUCGAAAGCUAGGGUAGCGAAAGGGAUUAGAGACCCCUGUAGUCCUAGCCCUAAACGCAUGUCUGCUAGUUGGUUUAACAUUUAUGUUGGACCGGCGUAAGCUAACGCGUUAAGCAGACUGCCUGGGAACUACGAGCGCAAGCUUAAAACUCAAAUGAAUAGGCGGGGACCUACACAACGAGUGGAACAUGUGGCUCAAUUCGACACGAACCGAAGAACCUCACCAAGGCUUGACAUACUUAUGACGAUCUCGUGAAAGCGGGAUUUUCCUUAGGGACAUAUGUACAGCUGGUGCAUGGCUGUCGUCAGCUCGUUCCGUGAGGAGUACCCUUAAGUGGGACAACGAGCGCAACCCCCGUUCCGAGUUAUAUGUGUCUCGGAAGACGGUCUUGAUAAUCAUCAAGAAGGAAGGAGGGGCAGACGUCAAGUCAUCAUGUCGCUUAUGCCUUGGGCUGCACACAUGUUACAAUGGGUAAUACAACGGGUUGUGCGACUUCGUAAGGAGAAGCUAAUCUCUUAAAAUUACUCUCAGUGGGGAUUGGGGUCUGAAAUUCGGCCCCAUGAACGCGGAAUUCGUAGUAAUCGCAGAUCAGCUAUGCUGCGGUGAAUACGUUCUUGGGUCUUGCACUCACCGCCCGUCAAGCCAACAAAGUCGGGAGUGCCUAAAAAUCACGCUUUGCGAGAACUAGGGUAAGCUCGGCGAUGGGGACU